UACGUAGGGGGCAAGCGUUGUCCGGAAUCAUUGGGCGUAAAGGAGCGUGUAGGCGGCCAGAUAAGUCCGCUGUGAAACUCGAAGGCUCAACUUCGAGCUGUCGGCGGAAACUAUCUGGCUAGAGUCCGGGAAGAGGAGAGUGGAAUUCCUGGUGUAGCGGUGAAAUGCGCAGAUAUCAGGAAGAACACCCGUGGCGAAGGCGGCUCUCUGGGACGGUACUGACGCUGAGACGCGAAAGCGUGGGGGAGCGAAACAGG
rnacentral:rRNA from 1 species